rnacentral:lncRNA from 1 species
AAACAUAAAACAUUACAUAAAGAGAAGCACCGAACAGUGAAUGUAAAAAUAACUCCCACAUCCAUCAUAUAUUGGGAGCUUCCACUUGAAUAGGAAAAUUUGUUUAUCCCUCACAAAUUAAAACACGAAACCUGAUGAAAAGAAGUAUUGGUUUCUCAUUGACAUAAUAACAAAUAGGAGCACAAAAUCAUAGCUUUUCAUCAAUGUCAGCAUGAUGCAUCGUUGCAUUUUUCUCGUUGUUAUUGUUGUUGUUGUUGUCUUCCUGGACUAUUGAAAGUGCUCUUCUUGGUCAUUUAUUGUCAUGGCCAAUAACGCCUGAAAGUGCUCUUCCAGGUCUCCACUCUCCCAAAAUCCCUAAAACAUUAAAAAUCAACAGAUUUACACAACGAAUAUAGAAAUGCACAAAUGAAUCUCCUCCUCAAGAUCAGUGAUGAAGGAUGCAAUAAAUAUCAUCGAUCAAAUGCCAAAGCGUAUUAUAAAUGAGAUACAUGCUUCUCAAGCCUUAACGAAGGCAAAAAAUUGAUUUUUCAAUGCAUUAUAGGCAAGAACGGAUCCAAGUCAGAACUGAUGCGAUUUAUUCCAUCGAACCACUAUGAAAGUUUCUCUAUACUGUUACGUUUUUAACACACAAGUAUUGAACUGUUUUUGCUGCCUUUCCAUUAUGAAUUAAUGGCGUAAUACAUGUUGAACUGUUACUCAAGAGCGAAAUUCAGAAAUACAUAUAUAUUGGCAUACUCCAAAUAAGUGCAUUUUCAGGAACAAAACUUUCUGAACUUCUAUACGAAAGAACUUGAACAAUCAGUCCAAAACAUAAUUCAAGUUGAACGAUCAUUUUCCUUACCGAGUGUUAAGGAAAAUGAAACAAGAGACGAGCUCGACGGAGAACUUGGACUGAAGAACUUGCACACGACGAGCUGCAGGGGAUAAGGGAGGGCGGUAGUGCGCGGUGUUCUGAGGCGGCGAAUGGAGGUGGAAGCAGGGGAGAACAUCAUUAUCUUAGGACUUUAUCCUAUUUUCAACACUAGUACACAGUCCCUGUAUGUGCUAUUCUCCCAUAGGCAUUAACACAAGCACCUUGUGUGUUUAGGAAGAACAAGGCACUCGAAUUAGAAUAGACACUGAAGAAACUCGCUACAAAACAUUACUUAUUUUAGGUGAUAUAUGUAAACUUAUAGAAUUUCAAAACAUGAACUGAUGAUAUUUUUGCACACGCACCAACUAGUUUGUAUUUUUUUCAUGAAUACACACCAAACAAAUAUUAAGUUUAUUACAGAAAUUCUCUAUUCAUGAACUGACAAUAUUUAUUCUUUGUGAACUGAAGAAAAGAGAACAAAAAUACACACGGAACUAACAAUAGUAUACACACUGAAGAAAAAAUAAUUUCUUCUCUAUGAGCUGACGAUACAAUACACAAAUAUUUGUAUUCUAUCAUCAGGUUUUUUCAUGGCAGGCAGUACAAGAAUGACUAGGAAAAAAAGGAAAAAUAGGGAAUUUAGUGGCCAAAAUCACUGUAAUAACUAGUGGCAGUCUCUGUGGUUUACCUCCUGUUUGCAUACCACGCAAAUGGGCCUGUUGCUAGCUAUAACUGCAGAGAGAGAGAGAGAAGAAAUUGGCAAAAAUACAUUGUUUCUCUUUCUGCUCAGACAUUCCCACAGAACAGGCCAAGUGCACAAAUUGAACUGAUCUUUUCCAUGACACGAACGGGGGCUAGUGCUGCUGCUGUACGUGCAUGAGGUUCAUGAGAGGUUCAACGGGAGAAGGGUGGAGCCAGUUUUCAAGUAAGGAUAUGCACAAAGAACUGAGAAGCAAAAUAAGUUCUAGUUGGCUAACACAAGAAACAUGUGAAACCAUAUACUUAGCCACUCUUUCCAAAGAGGUAGUAGCAUUGAAUCUUCCUUGUAGAAAGAUAUCUAGAUUAGAAGUUCAGAAGUUGAGCAAGGAUAUGCUUUUUGAAGUAGUAUAUAUAGUAAUUUGCUACCUUGCUUUUUGGUCACAAUAUAGUAUUUGAAAACUACCUCCAAGUUACCAAAUUGAAAGGUUGUAAUGACGAUACUUUAUGCUAGAUGAAUUGUAUGGUUGAAACAGAGACAACUCAAAGAAUAGGAAUACACGGCCAACCUUGCCAUCGAUGAUAGACUUGCUUGUUGCGCAUUCCUCCUCCGAUUGUUGUCGGAUUGUUUUCGGAUUUUAAGCA